CACCUCUUCUCUCUCUGUCGGCAGCCACCACCAACACACAGCUUCUCUCCGCUCUGCUUUUCCCUCUCUACCGAGCAAACCAGCAGGCAGCAACACCCAGCGCUGCAUCCCUUCUCACUCUCCUCCUUUUCCUUUGCUGUCCUCUCCAAUCGAGCAAGCACGGCAGCCACAUCCUCCUCUCAGCUUUAGCAGGCAGCAGCGCCACAACUCUACUCUGUUUCUCCCUAGCAACGCAAGGCGGCGGCAGCACCCUCUCCCCUCAGCUCCACCUCCCUCUCUCCAGCGCCAUCCUCCUCACAGCAGCGGGCCAGGCCCAGCGGCGGCCGGCGGCCAGGCGCCCAAGCCUGUGGCAGGGCUCGCGCGGCCCAGCUAGCUGCGGGGCAGGGGCGCCCAGCGCGGCCAGGCCAACGGCUGGCAGCAGCAAGGCUCCGGGCGACCGGGCCAGCGGCCACGAGGCAACGGCGGCGCGGCCAAGCAGCAUCGUCGCCAGCGCGCCGAUGUCAUCCCCGGCGCUGGCGGUGGACCGCGACGUCAUCCUUGCCCCGCAAGUGUUAGGCAAAAUGUCUCAACGGCCUCCCGAAGCUACUGCCCUACACGUGUUCGACGAAAUGCUUGGACGACGACCACGAGGUGAAGCUGAAGCCACGCCGGGAACGACGACGAUGCCGCCGGCCGCAAGGACGAGGAACUGAGGUGGAGAAGACGCCGCCGAGCCUGAAGCCGGAGCUGCACGUCUACGGUGACGACGACCCCCCUGGCGCUCCACGCUGACCUCGCCGACGUCCGGAACCGAAAGCCCGCCAUCCACAACCACGAGCUCGGACCAUCCCUACGCCGUCGAUGCCGUCGCCGGGUACCGCGAGCACGGGCCUGCCUGCACCGCACCGAGCCGUCACGGCCACGCCUCGCCACGGCGUCGCUACCCUGUCCUCUCCAAGUCCCACGGCGACGAGCCGUUCGAUACUUUGCCGGAUGCCGAGCAAGGCUCUGAUCUAAUACUCAAGAACAUGAAUGAUCAGCAACAAGGCAAGCACCCCCUUGAUCAUCUUUGCUCCUAUUUAAAUGCCUAAGCUUGUGAUUUAUAUGCAUGCGAUGAUGAUUUUAUGAGUCCAAAUGUCAUUUUGUACCGGGUAGACACAUCCUACUUUAAUGCAUAUACCUACCUUGUUAUUUUAAACCUUUUAUACCUUGUUGCCAUAAGGUUAUGGUUUUUUCGUUCGGUUCGGUGUCAUAUGCUUAGUUUGCUUAGAGCUAAUACGCGGUCACUUAAAUAGCAUCACUUGGGAGGGAUGAUUUGAAAGAUAAAUAUGGUUUAUAUUCGAAAAAUAAAAACUCUAUGGUAGAUGUGGGUGAUAAUAUGGUCUAGAGGUCUUGAUGGUAUGAGGAUAAAGAAAGAUGGAUGAUAAAAUGAAUGGUGGAUAUGACUUGGUCCUAUAUGUGUUUCCGGCGCAUUUUAGGGAUUCUCACCCGUGUCAAAUUAAGGAUCGGAAAUUGGCAUCUUCUAGUCGAAGUGUUACAGUACAACCACAUGUGCUUAAUGGGUACGGCCUUAGCUUACUAAGUCAGUUGGCCCCAAGGUGAUGUUACCGUCUGAGCACGAGAUGUCGUCGGUGUCGGGGUAGCUAACCCGGGCAGAUGUACGAAGGCGCUCCUACAAUCUGUUGUGUAGCAUUAUGUCGGGUCUGACUGAUGUAACAGCUUUGUCAUGCUCGCUUGCCGACACAUCUCGGAAAUGUGUCAAUUCGCGAUGGCAUCAAAGUGGAGCAUGUCGUGUGGGUAAAGUGUACAAACUUUGCAGAGUUUUAAAAACUAUUCGAAUAGCCGUACUCAUGGUCAUGAGCAACUUGGACUAGUCGCCGGUUAUAGAGCUAUUUUUUGAAAACUUGGUAUGGACUUGAAUGAUAUCACAUGCACCGGUUCAAUCAUUUUGGACCGAUAUAGUUGGUCGAAGGACCUAACGCGGUAUGGGAAAUGGUGAGUCAUGUUUGGUAUGGUCAGUCUAUUUUAAAUAUAUCAAACUAAUUUACAAAAUAUGUGUAAAAUGAUGAAUUUAAUUAAAAUGCAGCCUAGUGCUAGUGAACCUGUCAGCCCUCCUUGAUUACCUUGCAUGUAUAAUAGGAUUUUUCUAUACACUCGAAAUCUUGUGAGUACAAAAUUGUACUCACCCUUGUUGCUUAAAUUAAAAAUCCAGAGUUCGAAGAAAAGUCACCUCUGUUCAGUUCGCUGCCAAAGGAUGCGGGUUUCGCAACGUAGCUUCUUUCUAGGACUAACUCCAGUCAGUUGCCUGUGGGAUGGUGAGGCACACUACUGUAGGAUGGAAGUCCUAUAUUUUUGUUUGCUUCUGCUCUAGAUUAUAAUUUAGCUCCGAUCAAAUCUUAAUUUUACUAACAAAUUUUGUGUGCAGUUGUGAUACCGGUGAUGCUGUGUGUACUUGCGGACUGAUCAUGGGACAAGUACAAUAAGCACAACUGGAACUGGGUAUUUGCAUACCCGGGGUCCUGACAAUAGUCAUAUAGUUCUAUUUGAAAGAAAUAAUGUGUUUUCAUUGAAUAGAUGACAAUAGAUUUCUUGCCUACAGCUUAAAUCUUUUUUUUCUUAGUUAAUUCUUGACUAGUUCUACUGUUAGAAUCUCUUUUUUCAGAUAUUGGGAUUAUGAUCUUAUUGGUGGGAGUAUCAACAUGUUACCGCCUUUUUGUAUCUGCGCCAUAAACCUCCGCAAGUACUGUACUGCAGUCUUGACUCUUGAGAAACAGUGCGGUACCAUAUGGUUAUGGCAGGCUUGAGCCCCCGAAAUGACAAGAGGGACACCUUCCUCAAUGGACUUCGUUGUUAAUACCACGAUAGCAGUUAUGGUUUGUUCGUAUUUUA